AGGACUGAGCAUGCUCAGUGAAUCCCUGGAGCUCUUCAAAUGUCAGGGAUAUUUUCUGUACAAGAUCAGGCUCUAAAUGCACUAAGUGUUUGAAAGAAAGAGAAGGAGGAGGUGGAGAGCCUGCACAGAAGGGGCCUGUGCAGCAGGGGCCAUGUCAGAGCCGCUCUGACAGGAAGCAGCGCUGCCACUGCGAGCGGGAAGCGAGGGCGGCACGGCCGCCGGGAGGCCUCCAUGCAGGCAGCGGCCCGACUGCGGCACCACCACAGCACAGCGCGGCCAUCUCUUCACAUUCGUUAGCUCUCUUGCUCUUUUGCUGUAUUUCCAAGCACGACCUCAGACAUUGUCCUGUACCGUUGCAGUGAAAAAUAAUGCUAUGUAAGAGUGGCAGAGCAGAACAGCAGCUGUGGUCUGACACAGGCAGCUGGUUAGGGAAACGUGACACUGAGGGUUUACCUGUGUCCGUGCUCACACGCACCGCUACUGUUCAAUCAGUACAUCACUACAUUUGAUUCCUUUCAGGUAUAUUAGUUGUCAAAAAUUGUUUGGAUUGUUAGAAAUUGCUGCAGCUCCACGUGAAGUGGCGCAGAUGAUGGAGGUUUCUACAGCAGUUGGUCUCAUCCCAGGAUGCAGUCAGCCCUUCUGCAGUUCUAACCUUGACCACAAAGGCUGGCGCUGCUUGUACAGAUGUGCAUGACUCAUCCGGAGAGGGCAGAACAUCUGCAUAGAGGUAAGCAUGUGCUAACCUAGCAGGCAUCGGCUUGCACUUCCUGUGGCUAAUCAACACCUGAAGGCUGAUCUGACAGAAAUAGAGAAAUAAAUUCCAGAGAAUUUUAGUCUAAGACAAACAAAAAGGCUAAUGGCGUCCUGAUCUUGCCUCUGCCUCUCUCUCCUCUUUGAACUGGAUGGUAAUUCUUCCCUGCCUUCCUGGGAAGGAGAAUUUUAAUGGUACACAGGAGAGCACACAGUCAGUGAGAAUCAAUAACAAACUUUAAUUUCCACUUUGGGAAUUCCUCUGCUUUGUUAGUGCAUUACAGAAGCAUUUUGCCACAGCAUUUUGAAAAGCACUACUGGAACACUCUGGCUAUUUCAGGGAGACGAGGUAAUUCAAGUGAAGUUACUACUGAUAAAUAGGAGUAAGAAAUUUAUCUCCAAGGAACAUUUUCCAGAGCUCAAAUAAAGUUUCUCCUUCCUUCAAACAUGAGAAACAGUCCUGCGAGCUAUCUGCCUACAUACUCCAUUUGAAGGAGGAUGUCCACUGAAGAAUGCUGAAUUUGAUACUUCAGGAAAUAAGCUACCUAAAAGAAAAUCUGCAUUACUGAGGAGAUGAAGAAUACAGUGGCAGAUCUACAGAAGUUGGGAGAAGCAAAUGGCAUAGCAGACUCAGCAUCUAAACUCCAUAUACCUUCCCUGGACCAGCUUAUGUUUGGUUAAAUGGGCCGAUACCCCUUCGCAGCUGGAGCACAUAAGGAGCACUCCUGGUGAACCUCCAUCAGCUUCUCAUCUGAACAGAAUCUAGCUUAUGGCCAAGAACACUCCGACACAGACCAAGGACAAUCAGGAGAUGCAUUGUUGAAAGCAAAUGCUUGACGCAGCAAGAGCCCUGUUACUGACAUAACCAGGGUGACUAAGCGCUGAUGAGCAGAAGACAGCAUUUUUGAGACUUAAAAUCUUGUCAAACAUGUCCUUUCAACAACAUACAGGGCACAUACAUUAUUGAAUCACUUACUGGUUCCUAAAUACUGGUGGAACUCUUCUACUAUAAAAAUAUAUAAAUCUCAUCGAUUUAAGCAAUAACAGGAAUCUUAUUAAAAAGUUAAUCUAUACUUGUAUAUCAAUUACCUGAAUGUAGGAAAAAUUGGCAAUUCCUGCAUAUAUCACAUCCAUAAUACUAGAUUUGACAGUAAGAGUUUACAUGAUUCUUACAGCAUUUAAAAAUAUAGAGCGGCUUCAGAACAAACGGUUUCAAGAAGCUACCUACAAUGGAGCAUUCUUAUCUGCCUUCUCUCUGAUGUCCUCAACCCUGACUAGUCUUUCUACCUGUCUGUCAUAGCUCUCACCUCCUGCUUGCCUCUUCUCUCAUUCUUGCUACUGUCUUAGGCAGUAGUACUGAAGAGCCCACAAAAACAGCCUUGGUUCACACUCCAUGCUACACACCAUUUUUCAAAGGAAAAACGUACAGCGCUCGCUGACACUGUAGAAGAAAGAUCUGGAAUCUGCUCACUUGGACACAUGACUCAAAUUUCAUUCUUGAUGAUCAUCAGCACAGAGCACCAUUUUGACAGUGACCAAUUUUGCAACUUAAGAGAAAAAAACAGAGUCUUAAUAGAACAGUAACUAACUGAUGUAGAACACCACCCAUUUGACUCCCAUUUCUGCAUGGACAACAAUAGAUGUUACAGAUCCUGAGGUUGGGAAGGCUUUUAUGUUCUAUCACCUAGUUGAUAUGUCAACAUCCUUAAUGAAAGAGGUUGGAGGAGUAAAGCAAGAGUACUUCAGAUACAGGCUCUACCUUUUCCAUUCAACUAAAAGAGACUCUAGCUAGCAGCUGCUAGGUGGCGAUGUGCCUGAAGGAAAAAAUAAUACUAUUCCUUUUCCUCCUUUUCCUGAUAUUCAGUUGCAGAGUUGCUGCACUUAACACCAACAU